GACGAACGCUGGCGGCGUGCCUAAUACAUGCAAGUCGAACGCAGUGGGGACGGGUGAGUAACACGUGGGUAACCUCCCAUCAGAGGGGAUAAAACUUGGAAACAGGUGCUAAACCGAUACUGAUGGAUGGACCCGGGUGGAAUUAGCGAGUUGGUGAGGUAACGGCUCACCAAGGCCACGAUGCAUAGCCGAUCUGAGAGGAUGACCGGCCACACUGGGACUGAGACACGGUCCAGACUCCUACGGGAGGCAGCAGUAGGGAAUCUUGGGCAAUGGACGAAAGUCUGAUCGAGCCACGCCGCGUGAGUGAAGAAGGUUUUCGGGUCGUAAAGCUCUGUUGUUAGAGAAGCGGUAUCUAACCAGAAAGCCACGGCUAACUACGUGCCAGCAGCCGCGGUAAUUC
rnacentral:rRNA from 1 species